AUUGAACGCUGGCGGCAUGCCUUACACAUGCAAGUCGAACGGCAGCAUGAUCUAGCUUGCUAGAUUGAUGGCGAGUGGCGAACGGGUGAGUAAUACAUCGGAACGUGCCCUGUAGUGGGGGAUAACUCGUCGAAAGAUUAGCUAAUACCGCAUACGACCUGAGGGUGAAAGUGGGGGACCGCAAGGCCUCAUGCUAUAGGAGCUGCCGAUGUCUGAUUAGCUAGUUGGUGAGGUAAAGGCUCACCAAGGCGACGAUCAGUAGCUGGUCUGAGAGGACGAUCAGCCACACUGGGACUGAGACAAGGCCCAGACUCCUACGGGAGGCAGCAGUGGGGAAUUUUGGACAAUGGGCGGAAGCCUGAUCCAGCAAUGACGCGUGUGGGAAGAAGGCCUUCGGGUUGUAAAGCACUUUUGUCCGGAAAGAAAUGGCUCUGGUUAAUAACUGGGGUCGAUGACGGUACCGGAAGAAUAAGGACCGGCUAACUACGUG
rnacentral:rRNA from 1 species